rnacentral:rRNA from 1 species
AUUGAACGCUGGCGGCAGGCCUAACACAUGCAAGUCGAGCGGAUGAGUGGAGCUUGCUCCAUGAUUCAGCGGCGGACGGGUGAGUAAUGCCUAGGAAUCUGCCUGGUAGUGGGGGACAACGUUUCGAAAGGAACGCUAAUACCGCAUACGUCCUACGGGAGAAAGUGGGGGAUCUUCGGACCUCACGCUAUCAGAUGAGCCUAGGUCGGAUUAGCUAGUUGGUGAGGUAAAGGCUCACCAAGGCGACGUUCCGUAACUGGUCUGAGAGGAUGAUCAGUCACACUGGAACUGAGACACGGUCCAGACUCCUACGGGAGGCAGCAGUGGGGAAUAUUGGACAAUGGGCGAAAGCCUGAUCCAGCCAUGCCGCGUGUGUGAAGAAGGUCUUCGGAUUGUAAAGCACUUUAAGUUGGGAGGAAGGGCAGUAAGUUAAUACCUUGCUGUUUUGACGUUACCAACAGAAUAAGCACCGGCUAACUUCGUG